rnacentral:rRNA from 1 species
UACGUAGGGGGCAAGCGUUGUCCGGAUUUACUGGGCGUAAAGAGCGUGUAGGCGGCCACGCAGGUCCGUUGUGAAAACUGGAGGCUCAACCUCCAGACGUCGACGGAAACCGUAUGGCUAGAGUCCGGAAGAGGAGAGUGGAAUUCCUGGUGUAGCGGUGAAAUGCGCAGAUAUCAGGAGGAACACCGGUGGCGAAGGCGGGAUCCUGGGCCAGUACUGACGCUGAGGAGCGAAAGCGUGGGGAGCAAACAGG